rnacentral:rRNA from 1 species
GACGAACGCUGGCGGCGUGCCUAAUACAUGCAAGUAGGACGCACAGAUUAUACCGUACCUUGCUACACCAUAGACUGAGAGUUGCGAACGGGUGAGUAACGCGGACGUAACCUGCCUAUUAAAGGGGGAUAACUAUUGCAAACGAUAGCUAAUACCGCAUAACAGUAUGUAACACAUGUUAGAUGCUUGAAAGAUGCAAUUGCAUCGCUAGUAGAUGGACCUGCGUUGUAUUAUCUAGUACGUAGGGUAAAGGCCUACCUAGGCAACCAUACAUAGCCAACCUGAGAGGGGGAUCGGACACACUGGCACUGAUACACGGCCCAGACUCCUACGGGAAGCAUCAGUAAGGAAUCUUCGGCUAUGGGGGGAACCCUGACCGAGCAACGCCGCGCGACUGAACAAGGUUUUCGGAUCGUAAAGCUCUGUUGUUGACGAAGAACGAGUGUGAGAAUGCAAAGUUCAUGCUGUGACGGUACUUAACCAUAAAGGGACGGCUAACUACAUGCCAACAUCCGCGGUAAUACGUAUGUCCCGAGCGUUGUCCGGAUUUAAUGGGCGUACACCGAGCGCAGGCGUGUAAAAGAGUCUGAAGUUAAAGGCUGUGACUUAACCAUAGUACACUUUAGAAACUGUUGAACUUGAGUGCAGAAGGGAAGAGUGGAAUUCCAUGUGUAGCGAAGAAAUGCGUAUAUAUAUGGAGGAACACCGAUGGCGAAAGCGGCUCUCUGGUCUGUAACUGACGCUGAGGCUCGAAAGCGUGGGGCAGCGAACAGGAUUAGAUACCUUGGUAGUCCACACCGUAAACGAUGAGUGUUAGGUGUUAGGUGCUUUCGGGGAGUUAGUGCCGCAGUUAACUCAUUAAGCACUCAGUUGGGGGAGUAGGGCUGCAAGUUUGAAACUCAAAGGAAUUGACGGGGGCCCGCACAAGCGGUGGAGCAUGUGGUUUAAUUCGAAGCGAACGCGAAGAACCUUAGCAGGUCUUGACAUCGGGAUGUUAUUUCUAGAGAUAGGAAGUUUCUUCGGAACAUCGGUGACAGGUGGUGCAUGGUUGUUGUCAUCUCGUGUCGUGAGAUGUUGGGUUAAGUCCCGCAACGAGCGCAACCUUUAUUGUUAGUUGCCAUCAUUGAGUUGGGCUCUAUAGCGAGACUCCCGGUAAUAAACCGGAGGAAGGUGGGGAUGGUGUCAAAUCAUCAUGCCCCUUAUGACGUGGGCUACACACGUGCUACAAUGGCUGGUACAGGGAGUCGCAAGCCGGUGACGGCAAGAUAAUCUAUGAAACCCAGUCUCAUUUGGGAUUGUUGGCUGCAUCUCGCCUACAUGAAGUCGGAAUCUAUAGUAAUCGCGGAUCAACACGCCGCGGAGAAUACUUUCCCGGGCGUUGUACACACCCCCUGUCACCCCACGAGAGUUUGUAACACCCGAACUCGGUGAGGUAACCCUAAGGAGCCAGCCGCCUAAGGUGGGAUAGAUG